GCCCGUCACACCAUGAGAGUUGGAGAUACCCGAAGCCUGUGAGCUAACAAACGAGGCAGCAGUCGAAGGUAGAAUCAAUGAUUGGGGUGAAGUCGUAACAAGGUAGC
rnacentral:rRNA from 1 species